UUAAAAUAGGAAAAGCAGAACAAUGUUCUCCCGUUAAGGAAUGGCCAGCUUGAGCAAGCUUUCAGCUACAGUUAAACUCUUGCUACCCUUCCAGUUGAGAAAAUGGUGGUCUACCAAAGCACUUGACAACCUGAUUGGCACAUGUGAAAUUUAAAUUCAAAGACUCCUAACGGAAAAGGUCUCCCAAACUGGUGGUUUGACUGAUAAACUGAAAGCAACCCACCGCAUUUAUCACUCUCUGCCUCGACUCGAAACUUCAGAAGACGGUAACAGCAGUGCUCCUUAUGUCCAAGCUACUGGCCAGGCAGGCGCAGAUCAGCAGGCCACACUGCGCAACCUGUUUCUUUGGCGGUACACAUUUGGAAACGGCAGAUAUAGCUCACAAGGGGCAGCCACUCCAUUCGCACCUAUCAAAACAACAGGCAAGGCUGCCACGCUUUCAACUAGAGGAGCAGAGCGGGCGAGAGGCAGCACCACCGUGGGUGUGAAGGGAUGCCAUGCUGCAUCCCGACAAGAUGGGGUGAAGGUAGUCCAGUGUUUGUGGCCAGGUGGCUUCUUCAUUCCAACCUGUUUUUCUCCUCUGUGUCUUAAGAAAGGCUUCUUAAGCAUCAUUUCCCCCUUGAAACUGCUUUUCCUUUUUUUUUUUUCCUCCUUUAUUUUCAGCUUUGGAAAUUUGAUCUCAUGAUAUGGCUAGUGGUGUUAGGUCUCUCACUGAAAUGUCACUUAUUGCCAUCCCCUUUUUUGUGGGCUCCUAAGAGCAUCUUUAUGGUAGAUGUGGUGGAAUUCAGUGACCUAAAUGGUGGCAGCUAACCACAUCAAGAGUUAUCCUAUUGUAUCCAUGUUAUCCUCCAACUGCACCAAGACCUAAGGAGCUUCUGGGACGCUUCAUGCACUGUCUCAGAUGCUCUAAGGCAUAUUAAAUGGCACUAGAUGCAUGGUAUUUUAGUAAAUAUAUUUACCUGGUAUAGCUGAGCAUUUAUUCAUUUAUUUUUUCAGAAGCUGUAUCUGUAGGCUUGCAUUCUAGCUCACUAGCUUUUGCUGUCAGAGGUGGGUCAUGGUCAAUCCCCGACACUGUGUUCCACUACCAAAGGGUUGGGCAAGGGGCAUAAGGAAUUUGGGCACACAGGGGGAAUGUUGUCCCAGCACAUCUCAACAAAAACUCAUGGAAAUAUUUUGAUCUAUAACUACAGAUCUUUUGAUCUAUAAGGUACAGCUGCUACCAUGGCUGGUGGCUUGUCUUGGAUAUGAACCAGCUCCAUGCUGAAGACACCAGAACAAUGCAUGAAGUGCAAUCCCAGUUACUGUGCGGCUCUGUUUCUGUGGAACUGGCUCUGUAAGCAGUGUGUGAGGAAGAGACAUGCAAAAGGGACAUAAGGAUGGAUCAAAAGUAACAAUAAAACUACAUGGAUCUACAAGUAAGAAAGCCGCAGGAGAAUCCCCAUGCAUAGAGGAGUCCUUUGGCGACUUACAGCUGCCAUACUGAUUCUUCUGAAGUCAUGACUUGGAGCCAGCUCAGCUAGACCUCAGCUUUUAGUCCAUAAACUCACAAGAUAGAUGUGCUACAGUAUCCAAGGUCUAAUUAAGAAAAAACAUCCAGUAGAGUGUUAAUAAAAGCCAUAAAAAAGCAAAUAUGCUGCUGUUUUGGUUUUUUUUUUUAAUUGGGAGACGGAUAUUCCAGGAUAUUAAAAAUUGUGCAGUAUAUUUGGCAUCUAUGGCUAAGUAACACACACACACACACAAAUCUGGUAUGGUGAAUGAAUUAAAGAAUAAAAAAGGCCAAGAUUCCUCCCAAGGAUAUGUAACAAACCUCCUGGAACACACGCUUUGAUUGUGACUGUAGAAGAGGCAGGCUAGUGCACCAGGGGAACACUAUGCAGCAGCCUCACGCUAUGCAAUCUCCUAACACGCGAUAUAGCUCUCAGUAAAGCCACUAAGCUUUACUGAGACAAUGUGCUCUUACAUUAUUUCUCCAGCAUGCUGUCUUCAAGUGAACAUCUCCUUUACCUCCUGAUGCAGCAAAAUACAUUAGAGGCACACAGCUGGGGUAAGAGAGUCUGCAGUCACAAACUAGAAAACAGUUGCCUCUCUCAGGUCACAAUCCCUAAAAUUGCUCCUACAUGACUUGGAGGUUUGAGAUAGCCUUAGCCUUAUCUGAAUGUUUUUUGGUUUUGUUUUGUUGGGGUUUUUUAAAUGGAAAAUUUAGAAGUGUUAUGUACACACAUACACACACACGCAUACAUAUAUUAUAAUAGCUGACAAGAAUGAAAGAGUAAAAAAGAAAAGACAUUUCUUCAAUAACUAUGCAGUUUAAAUCCUCAUAUAUAAAAAAACCUCCACCCAAACCUAAACUAAAAUGCCACUCCUCCUUCUCCCAGC